CAUCGUGCAGAUUACGUGAGCUCACAUGCAGACUUGCUGACUUUGUUUAUUAGAAAUGAGCUUGUGGAAAUGGGCUGCUGAAGUUUUGAAGGUGCAACUGUAAUUUCGUUAGCUUCAUUAAGAUUUAUGCCAUAGGGUUCUCUAUACUCUUACUAAAGCCAACCAGACUUUUAUCAGACUACAUCCGCACUUUUAAUUAAAAUGUAAACACAUAUUGUGAUUUACAGGAGCAUGUGAAUCGGUCAUUGUGCCUGUCCCAUCAACCUGUAUAUCGGAACACAACUGUUAGAAAGGAUUACUGGAGUUAUUCACCUUCAUUCUCAGAGCCACCCAAAUCUAAAGGUGGAAUUUCAUCAUAGGAUGCCGAUUCCUUUGGUGAGGAGUUUGUACAUUUUCUAAAAAGAUUUAAAUUUUCUGAUACUUGGGUUAAGGUUCAGGACACUGUUAAAUUUGCAUCUAGGACUUUUAAACCCGUAUUUUAAUGAAUGUUUCAAAAUGCAGUUUGUGGCUUGGACCAGCAGAUGGAGUUGAACUGGAGUAAACAGACAAGAGUUAAACUCUCAUUGCUGGUAUGGGGAAAAGCAGAGGUUUUUUUCCAACAAAGUGUGCUAGUGCCAAUGUGGCUUGGUGUUGGUUGGGGGCCCCUAGUAGGUAGAAUAAUACAAAUAGGAAAUAGUAGUUAUAUUGACCAGUGGGGAGUAAAAUAUCUGGAAACAUAUCACUUCCCUGAUUAAAAAUGAUAUCCCCUACAAAAUUCCAAGAUUUGGCCACCUAGCUAAAUCUGCAUUCUUGAGGGGUAGGAUCACUCUAUUUAAAAGGAACCUCUCACCCAAGAGCUGCAAAAGCAAAAUGCAGCAGUAUAGCUAAAGAAAGCAUGCAAGGAGAAUAUCAGGAAGGGUGUAGAAUAUAAAUCUGAGUGCUUUAAAUGAGAUGAAUGAAUUAUUUUUCAGGUGAACUUCGUGUGUGUGUGUGUGAGAGAGAGAGAGAGAGAGAAUUUACCUAUCACUGUCACUUACCUAUUCCACUCUGGGGCAGGGAUGUGCAGGAAGAGGGCAAUUUUUAUUGUAAUUCUGCCACCAAACGGGUGAGAGGAUUCUCUAACUCCCCUGGAUACUGCUCUCCUGUCUCCAAGGCAGAUUAUUAUCCUCUGAGCACACACAAACUUUUAAGAGCAACUAUUUUGCUUUUAAAAUUCUCCAGGUUGUACUAAAUAUGAGAUCCUCAUUUGGGAUAAAUGGUCAUAGCUCCCCUGGCAUUAAUGGAGCUAUGACAAUUUGCAGAAGCUGAGGCUGUGGCCUCCAAUAUGUUUUCAAAAUAUUCUUCUAGGGAAGGAAAACCUCCGAUGCUGUACAAGGUCUUCAUUUCUAGCCUCUGCCUCCAUCCCAGAUUAGACACAAUGAACUCCAUGCUUUGCUAUUUCUAUAAUACUCAGGAUUGUCUUUCUAGAAACAAAAUCUAACCCGUUCCACAAAUGCUUUUCGCAUAAGUUUGUUUGCCUAGAAUGCUGCCUCAUUCCUUGUUUAGGUUUAUAAGAAAGCAUUUUUGUUUAAAUAGGGAAUCAAAUGAAAAAGACUCACUACCCCAACCUGCCUUUCUGUGAGUACAAGUACCUAUGAGAUGUUUUCUCUCAUCAUACAUGGAUACAUUUUCAUGGGAGCGUCUUCUUAAAAUAUGGGCACCAUGUUAUUGGCCUGAAGUCUCUCUCCUCCUCAUCGCAGUAGGCUCGUAUACACAGAAAGACUAGUUUGGCUGAUAUCCUUGGAUUUCUGCUCAUUCUGCCUUGCCAUCUCCUGCACUGUAAUCCUGCUGUGAUAGCUGAUCUGCUCCUGCUGCACACUGGUAAUCACAAGGAGAAGAACCCAACACACCGUGUUCUAUUCUCUCCUUCUGCCUUGGCCUCCACGUGUCUUUUUCCCCCUUUUGUUUUUUUCCUCCCAGGCCAUUUUUAUUAGUGCAGUAACAGUAACACUUGGUAGGAUCAAAGUGUGAUUGCCUUCAGAUUCCUCUAUUGCUGAAGUUUAUGAGCUAAGUGUUAACUGCGUGCUUCAAGUGAAAUAAACUGCAUGUUUUUAGUCUGCCACUUUAUAAGCACGCUGGGCUAGCAUCUGUUUUCAGUCUGACUGGAAGCCUGCAACAGCUGUUUCAUGUUAUGUUUCACUUGCAUUAGAAUUAGUUAGUUUUUCCAGACUCCCAGACUGCUUCCCCAAUAUUAUUUCUUGUCAACAUUCUUAAUUAACAACAAUACUGACACUAAUCUUGGAAUAACAGUGGAAGCGGAAAGGGUCAGAUUGAGAAGUGACACAUAAACACACCUGAGACUGGCACGUUGGACAGCACUUGGCAUUCUAGAACUAUAUUAUAACUUUAAACCCCAUGGAUUCGGCAUUUAUGAUCCAGUCCUGCAAACACUCAUGCAUUAGGUGAUGUAUCUGUAAAUUGAGUGUGAACUCCAGGCAGCUCAAUGCCAUUGUGCUCUCUGAUGCAUCCUCUAUACUUUAGAGGAAUUAUUAUAAUAUACGUUUUGCAGGCACAUAGCACAAUAUUAUUAUAUAUGUUAUGGGAGAGCCUGAAUAUGUAAAUGAAACAGAUUCUGGUUUCCAGAACAGGGUUUGAACAAUUGCUGUGGUGGGCACUAAUGCCUGUCUCUGCAGUUUCAGAAUGACUAGUGUCUAAAGUUUAAACUGUUGCUUUCUUAGCUACCUUGAGAAUAAAAGGUGUUUGGGAGGGGCUGUACACACCACACAAGGCCUGAAGGGGUCAAGGUAGCUAGGUAGGCCAAGUAACUGUCCAGACUGCACCUGGAGGAGGAGCCAGGGAGCAGGGAUUAAUUUGUUGAGACUCAGCUGGAUGGGAACAGGAAGGGCCUGUAUAAAGCCCAGGAGCUGGGGAUGUGGGAUGCUGUAGGGAAGGAAUCCGUUACCACUUCCUGGGAGAAGGGAGCUGUGUUUAGGACUAUAGAGAGUAGUCCAAAGUUACUCCCUGGGAGGACUGCAUUUGGGCUGGCAAACCCAAUAAAGAGAGAGAGUCGGAAAGGUGGGAAAGGCUUUGGGGAAAAGAUGCAUGGAUAGGAUAGGGAAGACCUUUGCUGCUGAUGAGACGGAUCCUGAGUUGGAACCUGGAGAGGAGAGCAGGGCUGGGUUCUCCUACCAGCCACUGGGGAAGUGGCACAGACCAGGCAGUGGAGAGUGGAUUGCAUGGGACAAUUUGGGCUGGAUGGAAGACUUUUUGAUAUUCCAGAACAGGGGAAGCACACAUAGUGACCUAGCCAGAGGGCCAGGUCAUGAAGAAGGAGUACCUGGACGUGGAAAGAAGAUGGGUGGAGAGACCACCAGAAGAGGACGCAACACCUGGAAGGAGCUAAUCCCUAGAGCUGCUAGGAGGAGGCACCCUAGUGGUGCUGCUGAACUGGAUAUUUUCUGAGGAUCAGGAUGCAGCUGCACCUCGCUUGCCCAACAAAGGAAGGAAAAGCAAUGGAGUGCCUGUGAGGCUUCUGCUUUAGGCCUCAGCUUCUCCAUCCAGAUAUCACUUGAACAACAGACAGAACCCAGGAACAAUGCAACUGUGCAGAAGAAAAGGAAGAGAGGAGAAGAAAAGGCUGCAAAAGAGUGGAUGUGGUGAGUUUAAAGAAAAAAGAUGGCACACAUGGAGGGUUUGGAAAAUCAGAAGAUGAGUCUGAAAACAUACUCACAUAUAUAUUUUGGGGAGAAACAUCAAUAUGGUAUUAUACUGAGUACACUUUAUUUGCACCAAUAAAAUCCAUGCUCUUUGCCUUAACCACUUUCACAAGUGAUGUAAAUAGAAUUGUGUGUGUAUUAAAUGUAACAUGCUCAUAUUUUUAUGCACAAACCUCAAUACUAUAUACUAAUCUACAGGCAGACAUUUAUUUCACAGUUAUUCUUUCAUCCCUUUCAGAAAGCAAUCACUCACCUCGUAUUCCUUUCACUUAACUAUAGGCAUCAGCGUGUCUCUCUAUAUAAAGAAUGACAAUCACAGGAGCUUUCUCCG